UAUUUAACUGAUAACCCACGUAAAACCUCACCAACUUUUGAUUCCAGCCUGUAUACCAUCGUCGUCAGUUUACCUUUCAAAAGCAGUAUACAAAAUGACCUUUUUUCAUAACGCCAGAUCAAGGUGCAGCUUAUAAGUUGGGGAUAAGUGAGCUACUAUAAUUUAACAAAAAAUAAAAAUAUGAAAAAAUGAAUGAAACCUCAUUUAGAAACAGAAUUCAGUAGUAACGGCUAAACAAAUAGAAAAUAACCGUGAAUACUCAGCUCUAGAAUACGC
rnacentral:rRNA from 1 species